GACGAACCGAGCGAACGUUGUUCGGAAUCACUGGGCUUAAAGGGCGCGUAGGCGGGUGCUCAAGUCUGUGGUGAAAUCCUCCGGCUCAACCGGAGAACUGCCAUGGAUACUGGGUGUCUCGAGGGUGGUAGGGGUAUGCGGAACUAUCGGUGGAGCGGUGAAAUGCGUAGAUAUCUGGAGGAACACCGGUGGCGAAGGCGGCAUCCUGGACCGACACUGACGCUGAGGAGCGAAAGCCAGGGGAGCAAACGGG
rnacentral:rRNA from 1 species